AGAGGUGACUGGAGACAGAACCAGUGCAGUUAGAGGUGACUGGAGACAGAACCAGUACUGUUAGAGGUGACUGGAGACAGGAGACAGAACCAGUGCAGUUAGAGGUGACUGGAGACAGAACCAGUACAGUUACAGGUGACUGGAGACAGAA